rnacentral:misc_RNA from 1 species
CCAACAAUUUGGGGCUAGAGAGGCCCAGUCAAUGGCAUUCUUCAAAGGUGCAGUAAGAGAGUAAUUGUUCUCAGGAGAAGCAAAAAGAACACUAUCAGCGUUGAGAAUUUGUUGGCGAAAAGCUUCAACAACUGUUGGAUAGGUUCCAUUGACAAUAAGAUCAGUGUUCAGCAAUGGCAACUGGGAUAUGUCUAUGUGCUCAAUUUGUACACCAGUCACCGACUCCUUGC